GGGGGACAGGAAUUUCUAUUCCAGGUAAAAGGGGAGCAGAUUCCAUGUCUUGGACAGUCCCAGAGCAGAAGGGGAGCAGAUUCCAUGUCUUGGACAGUCGCAGAGCAGAAGGGGAGCAGGUUCCAAGUCCUGAACAGCCCUGGGGAGAAGGGGAGCUCCAUUCCCUGCACGUGGAGAGGCUCCUGAGCCAUUUCCUGCCGGGCCUGGGUUAUGUUGGUUCACUUUGGCUCCUGCCCUGGAUGCCACUUCCAUGACAUCACUUGGAGUGGAGGAGUUGCUCCAAGCGUGGCUGCAGCAGAUGUGAGGAUGUGUUUGGGGGAGCCUCUGCUGCCGAGCCCUUCCUGGAAUCCUGCAGAAGCCGAAAAGAGCAGGAAAUAUUUUUCUAAGGCAGCCGAAACGAGCCCUCCUUCAAUAAUAACCCAAGGGAUGGUGGAGUUGUCAAGCUGAGCUCAUAUCGAACUGGUUCUGCGGUGCUGGCUGGUGGCACUGGGGACACUGAGCCAGUCCCAGGUGUCCCCAGGAGGAGCACAGACCUGGCUGCCACCGAAGGACUUCACCGGGAAGGAAACCCGAGCUGCCGGGAGCCAGGGCUGCGGCUGGGAGGAGGAAAUUGCUGUUUCUGCUGAGCCGUGCAGAGAAAACAAAUCUCACCCCCAGGAGCCGCCUUCAAAGGGAGAAAUUCCUGCCCUGGGAGCUGCCCAGGGCUCAGCCCUGGCACCCACGGGCUGGGCAGAGCCUGGAGGGACUCAGGGGAGGGGUUGGAUGGGAGGGAUCCCAAAGCUCAUCCAGUUCCAUGUUCCAGGCUGCUCCAAGCCCUGUCCAGCCUGACCUUGGGGUCCAGGGGCAUCCACACUGCUCUGGGAAUCUCUUCUAAGGUCUCCCCACCCUCACUGGGGAGAAUUUAAACCUAAAUCCUCCUCCUGUGUCACCAGAGCCCUCCUGGGAUGAUGUUCCCUGGUCUCUCUUCAUUUUGAAAAAUCUCCUUUUUUUUUUUUUUUUGCUCCCACCAAAGCCUUUCCUGCUGCCUCUCUCCCUUUCCAUGGUUUUCCUCCUCUUGGAUUUUCAUGUUUUUCUGGAAAACCCCAGGCUCUGGAUGUUCCUCUGUGAGCAGCCCAGUGUCCACCCUGUUCCAUUCUGAUCCCAGCUCCUCUUUUAUUCCAGCUGUGGUGGGAUCCUGAGGAGAUCAUGGAAUUUUCUUGGCUCCCUGCUGGCACUUCCAGGGAUCCAGGAGCAGCCACAGUUUCUCUGGGAAUCUUUUCCAGAGCCUCCCCUCCCUCACUGGGGAAAAUUCAAACCUAAAUCCAACCUAAAUCCUUCUCCAGAGCCCCCCUGAGAUGAUGUUCCCUGCUCUCUCUUCAUUCUGAAAAAUCCUUCUCUCUUCAUUUUGAAAAAUCUCCAUUUUUUGCUCCCACCAAAGCCUUUCCUGCUGCCUCUCUCCCUUUCCAUG
rnacentral:lncRNA from 1 species